GUAGGUGAACCUGCGGAAGGAUCAUUAUCAAAAUAAUAAUAAUAAUAUUAUUAUUAUUCACCUCAAUGUGCAUUAAAAAAAAUUUUUUUUUUUAUCAAAUCUUUGUCUUAAUAAUAAUUAAAAUAAAAUAUAAUAAUAAAACUUUCAACAACGGAUCUCUUGGCUCUC
rnacentral:misc_RNA from 1 species